GACGAACGCUGGCGGCGUGCUUAACACAUGCAAGUCGAACGGAAAGGCCCUGCUUUUGUGGGGUGCUCGAGUGGCGAACGGGUGAGUAACACGUGAGUAACCUGCCCUUGACUUUGGGAUAACUUCAGGAAACUGGGGCUAAUACCGGAUAGGAGCUCCUGCUGCAUGGUGGGGGUUGGAAAGUUUCGGCGGUUGGGGAUGGACUCGCGGCUUAUCAGCUUGUUGGUGGGGUAGUGGCUUACCAAGGCUUUGGCGGGUAGCCGGCCUGAGAGGGUGACCGGCCACAUUGGGACUGAGAUACGGCCCAGACUCCUACGGGAGGCGGCAGUGGGGAAUAUUGCACAAUGGGCGGAAGCCUGAUGCAGCAACGCCGCGUGCGGGAUGACGGCCUUCGGGUUGUAAACCGCUUUCGCCUGUGACGAAGCGUGAGUGACGGUAAUGGGUAAAGAAGCACCGGCUAACUACGUG
rnacentral:rRNA from 1 species